AGAAUCAACGCUGGCGGCGUGCCUAACACAUGCAAGUCGCACGAGAAAGGGAGUUCGCUCCUGAGUAAAGUGGCGCACGGGUGAGUAACACGUGAAUUAUCUACCUCCGAAUGGGGAAUAACUGAGAGAAAUCUUAGCUAAUACCGCAUAAUACCUACGGGUCAAAGCAGCAAUGCGUUUGGAGAGGAGUUCGCGGUCGAUUAGUUAGUUGGCGGGGUAAUGGCCCACCAAGACGAUGAUCGAUAUCCGGCCUGAGAGGGCGCACGGACACACUGGAACUGAAACACGGUCCAGACUCCUACGGGAGGCAGCAGUGGGGAAUUUUGCGCAAUGGGGGAAACCCUGACGCAGCAACGCCGCGUGGAGGAUGAAAUAUCUUGGUAUGUAAACUCCUUUCGAUGGGGAAGAUAAUGACGGUACCCAUAGAAGAAGCCCGGCUAACUUCGUGCCAGCAGCCGC
rnacentral:rRNA from 1 species